rnacentral:rRNA from 1 species
UACCAGCACCCCGAGUGGUCGGGACGAUUAUUGGGCCUAAAGCAUCCGUAGCCGGUUUUACAAGUCCUCCGUUAAAUCCAGCUGCUUAACAGAUGGGCUGCGGAGGAUACUAUAGAGCUAGGAGGCGGGAGAGGCAAGCGGUACUUAGUGGGUAGGGGUAAAAUCCGUUGAUCCAUUGAAGACCACCAGUGGCGAAGGCGGCUUGCUAGAACGCACUCGACGGUGAGGGAUGAAAGCUGGGGGAGCAAACCGG